AGGCCAGGAGAGAUGGGGGAAAGGAAUCUGUUGCCAAGGCUAGUGACCUGAAUUUGCCAUGUGACAGGAUACCGGCAGUCUAGUCCAAUAGCAAGCCACCAUGCUCCACCGAACAGGCAUGAGUCAGCGGAAGAGACAAGAAUCAGCUGGAAUACCAUGAGAAGUCCUUUUGUGCGUUUCUCUCUAGGAAGUGAAGACCAGCAAAGACCACCGAAGGCUGGAAACAUCUCUCUGACAGCUUCCAGAAAAACAUCACGUGACAAACUGAGUUUCCAAAGAAACCAGAAAUUUCCACUUUGUGAAAACCUGUUUAACAAAACAAAACAAGGCCUGUGGCUACAGGAGUUGGUAGAGUUUAUCUUGCCUAGAGCACAAAGUCCUGGGCUUAAUUCCUAGCACUGCAUAAAAACCAAGCUAUGGGACACAUUUGAGGCUAUGGUCUAUGUUUCAAAAACAAAGAAAUCCCUCACACCUGAUACCUGUUGGUGAAUCAUUUCCCCCUCCUCAGGGGGUGCCAGACACUGUUAGUCAUCCCUACAGUGCUACCUCAGCACCUGGUUCAGAGGUUUAGUCCAUUAUCAUCAAGGUGGGAGCAUGGCAGUGUCCAGGAAGGCAUGGUGCUGGAGGAGCUGAGAGUUCUACAUCU
ensembl:lncRNA